rnacentral:rRNA from 1 species
GAAAGUCUGACGGAGCACGCCGCGUGAGUGAUGAAGGUUUUCGGAUCGUAAAGCUCUGUUGUUAGGGAAGAACAAGUACCGUUCGAAUAGGGCGGUACCUUGACGGUACCUAACCAGAAAGCCACGGCUAACUACGUGCCAGCAGCCGCGGUAAUACGUAGGUGGCAAGCGUUGUCCGGAAUUAUUGGGCGUAAAGGGCUCGCAGGCGGUUUCUUAAGUCUGAUGUGAAAGCCCCCGGCUCAACCGGGGAGGGUCAUUGGAAACUGGGGAACUUGAGUGCAGAAGAGGAGAGUGGAAUUCCACGUGUAGCGGUGAAAUGCGUAGAGAUGUGGAGGAACACCAGUGGCGAAGGCGACUCUCUGGUCUGUAACUGACGCUGAGGAGCGAAAGCGUGGGGAGCGAACAGGAUUAGAUACCCUGGUAGUCCACGCCGUAAACGAUGAGUGCUAAGUGUUAGGGGGUUUCCGCCCCUUAGUGCUGCAGCUAACGCAUUAAGCACUCCGCCUGGGGAGUACGGUCGCAAGACUGAAACUCAAAGNAAUUGACGGGGGCCCGCACAAGCGGUGGAGCAUGUGGUUUAAUUCGAAGCACCGCGAAAAACCUUACCAGGUCUUGACAUCCUCUGACAAUCCUAGAGAUAGGACGUCCCCUNCNGGGGGCAAAAUGACAGG